rnacentral:rRNA from 1 species
AAGAGCGGCGGACGGGUGAGUAACGCGUGGGUAACCUGCCCUGUACACACGGAUAACAUACCGAAAGGUAUGCUAAUACGAGAUAAUAUACUUUUAUCGCAUGGUAGAAAUAUCAAAGCUUUUGCGGUACAGGAUGGACCCGCGUCUGAUUAGCUAGUUGGUAAGGUAACGGCUUACCAAGGCGACGAUCAGUAGCCGACCUGAGAGGGUGAUCGGCCACAUUGGAACUGAGACACGGUCCAAACUCCUACGGGAGGCAGCAGUGGGGAAUAUUGCACAAUGGGCGAAAGCCUGAUGCAGCAACGCCGCGUGAGCGAUGAAGGCCUUCGGGUCGUAAAGCUCUGUCCUCAAGGAAGAUAAUGACGGUACUUGAGGAGGAAGCCCCGGCUAACUACGUGCCAGCAGCCGCGGUAAU